UAUCAAUGAUAAUUUUCGUUGUUUUUGUUUUUCGAAUUUAAUGUGACCGGUCAGUGUUUGUUUUGUGUAUCUUAAAUACUUCUAUUAUAAAUUUCCUUAGAAUGAUGAUUAAAAAAAUUAUCAAUGUUAUGGAUGCCUUAAAAAGUAUUUUUAUUCUUUGCACUCGAGAUAGUGGCUUUUUCGUGUCUAAUAUUCAAAUCAAAUUUCGUGAAAAUUACAAUAUGAAAUCUCAUCCUUUAUAUUGUACACACGUCAAUGAGGUCUGGAAUAAUAAACUGAAGAAUUGUUCUAACUUAUCUAAUGACACAAAAUUCAGACUUUAUGAAACUAUUCUUAAAGAUAUUAUUAACUCGUGCUUGCCUAAUUUAACAUCCCAAAUAGAUAUUCAAAGAUUUCAUUGGAACAAAUUGUGCUCCAUGUGCUGACGAACUUUAUUGCGAUGGUAUGAAAAAUUACCAGAAUCGUCAGGCAUACAUGGCUGACCCACUUGGUGUUGAAAGUUUAUUAAUUGAAACCAAUAAUUAUGCAAUUUUCUUGAGAAAGAGAUUGUGCAGAAAUGAUUGAUAUGAUUUGUGCAGAGAAAUGAAUGAUUGUCUCUGAUGAUUGAUAGACAUGGCAGUCAUCCUGAGCCCGAUGUCAUAACAAGUGGAGCAAAUGAGGACAUCAAAUACUGUGAAACAUCUAGAACAUGUGAAGAAGUGUUUGAAACAGUUUUGAAAGAAAUCAGAGAUGAAAUGAAUAUCCCAUUAGAAUGGGAUGUGCCUAUCCCAACCAAUACUUCUUGGCAUUGAUUACAAUCUUACUUGGAGGAGAUCAUUCCUAAAAUUUAUUGUUAGUGUAAAUAUUUGUGGCUUUUAGGUCAUGACUAGUGAAACAAAUCAAGAACCAUCUAGAAUAUGUGAAGAAGUAUUUGAUUCAGUUUUGAAAGAAAUCAGAGAUCUCAUUAGAAUCCCUCUCCCCACCGAUGUUUCUUGGAAUUGAUUACAAUCCAGAUACUUGGAUAAGAAUAUUGCCAGAAUUUAUUGUAAGGUAAUAACAGAAAUUUUUUCGUUUUAAUUUAAUGCCAAAUUUCACCUGGAAUA